GCGGACGUGGCGGAAUGGUAGACGCGCAGGCAUGAGGGGCCUGUGUCCAAAAGACGUGGAGGUUCGAGUCCUCUCGUCCGCACCA
rnacentral:tRNA from 1 species